rnacentral:rRNA from 1 species
UACGGAGGGUGCAAGCGUUGUUCGGAAUUAUUGGGCGUAAAGCGAGUGCAGGCGGUAAGGUAUGUCUGGUGUGAAAGCCCGGGGCUCAACUCCGGAAGUGCAUUGGAAACUGCUUUACUUGAAUCUUGGAGAGGGUAGCGGAAUUCCUGGUGUAGAGGUGAAAUUCGUAGAUAUCAGGAGGAACACCGGUGGCGAAGGCGGCUACCUGGACAAUGAUUGACGCUGAGACUCGAAAGCGUGGGGAGCAAACAGG